GACGUAGGGCGCGAGCGUUGUCCGGAUUUAUUGGGCGUAAAGAGCUCGUAGGUGGUUUGUCGCGUUGUUCGUGAAAACUCACAACUCAAUUGUGGGCGUGCGGGCGAUACGGGCAGACUGGAGUACUGCAGGGGAGACUGGAAUUCCUGGCGUAGCGGUGGAAUGCGCAGAUAUCAGGAGGAACACCGGUGGCGAAGGCGGGUUUCUGGGCAGUAACUGACGCUGAGGAGCGAAAGCGUGGGGAGCGAACAGG
rnacentral:rRNA from 1 species